CAGCCGCCGCGGUAAUACGUAGGGGGCAAGCGUUAUCCGGAAUAACUGGGCGUAAAGGGUGCGCAGGUGGUUUAACAAGUUAGUGGUGAAAGGCAUAGGCUCAACCAAUGUAAGCCAUUAAAACUGUUUAACUUGAGUGCAGGAGAGGAAAGUGGAAUUCCUAGUGUAGCGGUGAAAUGCGUAGAUAUUAGGAGGAAUACCAGUGGCGAAGGCGACUUUCUGGACUGCAACUGACACUGAGGUACGAAAGCGUGGGGCGCAAACAGGAUUAGAUACCCGUGUAGUCCCUGUCUCUUAUACA
rnacentral:rRNA from 1 species